rnacentral:rRNA from 1 species
AUGAUCUUGCGUGUGCGUAGGAAUUUUUUUGAAAUUACUACAUUCCCCAACACGUCCUCCAUAGCAAAGCAAGUUAAAAAGAAGGGUAAACAUCCAACACUAAAUUUCAAUCAUAGGAGCCGAAGUAACUCGGAUGAGAAUCUUAUAGUGUAUAUUCCAAGGCGACCAAUGCUUGAUACAGUGUGCGAAAUAAUUGGUCUAAAAGUACAAGGGUACACCUGUUGGUACGUUGAUGAAGGUAUGAUACAAGCAUCCAUACUGAUUACUCUGCCACGCCAGAAGGAUAGCUUCAGAGAAUCCUCCAUAACAUAUGAAGGAGAGGCAGCUAAUAUAGAAGAUGAAGCAAUGGAAAAGGCAUCUCAGAUGGCCUUAGAAUGCAUCUAUGCAGAUUAUAAUAUUUCUAUCAAUGAUCAUAAUUACUAUGUUCUUGAAGUCACGAAGGAAAGAUUGUUUACAGCAAGAGAGAAGGCUCAAACAAAGCAAUGGCAGUUCAAUAUGGCCCGCCAGCAAGUAAGCACACAGCAGAACGAGUUUGCAAGACAGACAAUGAUUUUAACAAAGAUAUGCAAUGGCUUCUUUGAUAUAUUACCACUUCGUAUGUAUCCCCAGCGCCUAGACAGCGACGAUCCCAUUAUCACAUAUACAGGCGCGCACCCUCCCGUCGGACGUAUGCAAGAACUUGAAAAAUCACUUUAUCAUUUUAUUACGGGCACCAAUCCUGCAGGAGGAUAUACUAUGAUGAUCUAA